rnacentral:ncRNA from 1 species
UGGAUCCAUUAAGCGCCAGGGCUUAACCGCACAGAACGGAGAAUAUUGUGCAGGGUAAGUCGACGAGGUGAAGGUGUUCGAAACAUUCGGCGGGGACCUUCCGGUAUUGCAUCAUACCGUAUGGCUGUAACGGAAAACGAGUUGGCAACGGCUCGGACAACGUUAGGGCGAGAUGCUUC